rnacentral:lncRNA from 1 species
UUAGUUAUGUUAGUUUCAGUUUUAGUUUAGUUUUAGUUUUAGUUUUAGUUUUAGUUUAGGUUUAGUUAGUUUAGGUUUAGAAGAAGAAGAAGAAGAAGGAGAAAGGAGAUGAAGAAGAAGGAGAAAGGAGAAGAAAAAAAUAAGAAGAAGAAGGAAAAGGAAGGGAAGGAGAAGAACCAAGAAGAAGAAGAAGAAGAAGAA